rnacentral:rRNA from 1 species
AUUGAACGCUGGCGGCAUGCCUUACACAUGCAAGUCGAACGGCAGCACGGGUGCUUGCACCUGGUGGCGAGUGGCGAACGGGUGAGUAAUACAUCGGAACAUGUCCUGUAGUGGGGGAUAGCCCGGCGAAAGCCGGAUUAAUACCGCAUACGAUCUACGGAUGAAAGCGGGGGACCUUCGGGCCUCGCGCUAUAGGGUUGGCCGAUGGCUGAUUAGCUAGUUGGUGGGGUAAAGGCCUACCAAGGCGACGAUCAGUAGCUGGUCUGAGAGGACGACCAGCCACACUGGGACUGAGACACGGCCCAGACUCCUACGGGAGGCAGCAGUGGGGAAUAUUGGACAAUGGGCGAAAGCCUGAUCCAGCAAUGCCGCGUGUGUGAAGAAGGCCUUCGGGUUGUAAAGCACUUUUGUCCGGAAAGAAAUCCUUGGCCCUAAUACGGUCGGGGGAUGACGGUACCGGAAGAAUAAGCACCGGCUAACUACGUG